rnacentral:rRNA from 1 species
CCACUCCUACGGGGGGCAGCAGUAGGGAAUCUUCCACAAUGGGCGAAAGCCUGGUGGAGCAACGCCGCGUGGGUGAAGAAGGUCUUCGGAUCGUAAAACCCUGUUGUUAGAGAAGAAAGUGCGUGAGAGUAACUGUUCACGUUUCGACGGUAUCUAACCAGAAAGCCACGGCUAACUACGUGCCAGCAGCCGCGGUAAUACGUAGGUGGCAAGCGUUAUCCGGAUUUAUUGGACGUAAAGGGAACGCAGGCGGUCGUUUAAUGCUG